UGCUGAACCCGCAGCAGAGCUGGAGCAGAGUGAUUAUUGAAUGCAUGGAGUGUGGAGGGGAAAUUGUUGCCACUCCACUCUGCUCACAUACUCUGGUACAUACGUCUUCUCUUCUGGACCUCCCAGCGGAGCAGGUUUGGAGAGAGUUGCUUGGCGAAUGUCCUCGUCGAUCGACCAUCGGAUGGGGCUGACGACGACAAGGGCUGGAUGGAGGAUAGUUUCAGGUAAAACCUGUCAGUCGACUGAUGGGUAGAGAUGUGAUAGCUCGGCAUCAGCUCGGGUGUUUUUGGUCCCAGGUCGGUAUGUCACCGUAGUGAAAACGAGUGAAGAACAGUGCCCACCAGGCUUGUCUGGGGUUCAACCAUUUGGCAUCUCGCAGAUAUUCCAGGUUACAAUGGUCAGUUAUUACUUUGAAAGAUGAACUGCUACCUCCAGCCAAUGCCUCCACUCUUCCAGGGCAAGUUUAAUGGUGAGCAGCUCACGAUUACUGAUAUCAUAAUUUUGCUCCGCUGGGGAACGUUUUCGGGAGAAAUAAGCACAUUGAUGUAACCUCGGAGGAGUUGUGAAAGCACCGCACCUACUCCAACUGUAGAAGCAUCCACCUCCACGAACAAUGGUUUCUGUGGAUCUGGAUGGACGACUGUAGAAGCGGAGCUGAAAGCCUUCUUCAGCUGAGUGAAGGAGUGGAUGGCUUCCAGGGUCCAGGACAGGGACUUGGGCUUGUUGCGGAGCAUGGAAGUCAAUGGAACAGUGAGAUGGCUGAAAUGGAUUUGAUGACAUACCUGAGGAACUGGAUGGUGGUACAGUGGAACUCGCACUUCUCUAGCUUGAGAUAAAGAUGGUGAUUUCUCAGCUUCUGGAGGACCUGCUCAACGUGAUGGUGAUGUUCUGCCAAGUUCUGUGGAAAGGUUAUUGGUCAUGAUACAACAGUCAUAUAUGGAGAAAAUGCCACUUUGUUGUGUCAGCUGACUGAAACGGAUGAUGAUCUAACUCGUAUUAUAUGGAAGAAAAAGACACGAGAAAAACUUGAAGAGAGCGUCUUCUUUGUCAUUCGCCAAGGGGGCAAAACUGAACAUAAGAAUGGAUUGGAGGACAGAGUACAAUUUAUUGGGAACUUUGCAGAGAAAAAUGGAUCAAUUCAGCUGCUCAGAAUGAGGCUUCUGGAUGAAGGGAUCUACACAUGUACCUUCAACCUAUACCCUAGUGGGCCAUUAGAGACUGACAUCAAUGUCACCGUUUUUGGUAAGAUGGCUUGUUCAUAUUA